rnacentral:rRNA from 1 species
AAUGAACGAUGGCGGCAGGCUUAACAAAUGCUAGUCCAGCGCCCCGAAAGGGGAGCGUCAGACGGGUGAGUAACGCGUGGGAAUCUACCCAUCUCUACGGAAUAACGCAUGGAAACGUGUGCUAAUACCGUAUACGUCCUUCGGGAGAAAGAUUUAUAGGAGAAGGAUGAGUCCGCGUUGGAUUAGCUAGUUGGUGGGGUAAAGGGCUACCAAGGCGACGAUACAUUGCUGGUCUGCGAGGAUGAUCAGCCACACUGGGACGGAGACACGGCCCAGACUCCUACGGGAGGCAGCAGUGGGUAAUAUUGUACAAUGGGCGCAAGCCUGAUCCAGCCAUGCCGCGUGAGUGAUGAAGGCCCUAGGGUUGUAAAGCUCUUUCACCGGUGAAGAUAAUGACGGUAACCGGAGAAGAAGCCCCGGCUAACUUCGUGCCAGCCGCCGCCGUAACAC